AGCGGAGUGCCGCAGCGGUAAAGUAGUGGGACCGUAACCCACAGGUACCUGGAUCGAAUCCUGGUACAGCUA
rnacentral:tRNA from 1 species